GACGAACGCUGGCGGCGUGCUUAACACAUGCAAGUCGAACGGAAAGGCCCUGCUUUUGUGGGGUGCUCGGGUGGCGAACGGGUGAGUUACACAUGAGUAACCUGCCCUUGACUUAGGGAUAACUUCAGGGAACUGGGGCUAAUAACGGAUAGGAGCCCCUGCUGCAUUGUGGGGGUUGGAAAGUUUCUGCGGUUGGGGAUGGACUCGCGCCUUAUCAGCUUGUUGGUGGGGUAGUGGCUUACCAAGGCGUCGACGGGUAGCCGGCCUGAGAGGGUGACCGGCCACAUUGGGACUGAGAUACGGCCCAGACUCCUACGGAAGGCAGCAGUGGGGAAUAUUGCACAAUGGGCGGAAGCCUGAUGCAGCAACGCCGCGUGCGGGAUGACGGCCUUCGGGUUGUAAACCGCUUUCGCCUGUGACGAAGCGUGAGUGACGGUAAUGGGUAAAGAAGCACCGGCUAACUACGUG
rnacentral:rRNA from 1 species